rnacentral:rRNA from 1 species
GAUGAACGCUAGCUACAGGCUUAACACAUGCAAGUCGAGGGGCAGCAUUUUAGUUUUGCUUUGCAAACUGAAGAUGGCGACCGGCGCACGGGUGAGUAACACGUAUCCAACCUGCCGAUAACUCCGGGAUAGCCUUUCGAAAGAAAGAUUAAUACCGGAUAGUAUACGAAUAUCGCAUGAUAUUUUUAUUAAAGAAUUUCGGUUAUCGAUGGGGAUGCGUUCCAUUAGUUUGUUGGCGGGGUAACGGCCCACCAAGACUACGAUGGAUAGGGGUUCUGAGAGGAAGGUCCCCCACAUUGGAACUGAGACACGGUCCAAACUCCUACGGGAGGCAGCAGUGAGGAAUAUUGGUCAAUGGGCGCGAGCCUGAACCAGCCAAGUAGCGUGAAGGAUGAAGGCUCUAUGGGUCGUANACUUCUUUUAUAUGGGAAUAAAGUUUUCCACGUGUGGAAUUUUGUAUGUACCAUAUGAAUAAGGAUCGGCUAACUCCGUGCCCAGCAGCCGCGGUAAUACGGAGGAUCCGAGCGUUAUCCGGAUUUAUUGGGUUUAAAGGGAGCGUAGGUGGAUUGUUAAGUCAGUUGUGAAAGUUUGCGGCUCAACCGUAAAAUUGCAGUUGAAACUGGCAGUCUUGAGUACAGUAGAGGUGGGCGGAAUUCGUGGUGUAGCGGUGAAAUGCUUAGAUAUCACGAAGAACUCCGAUUGCGAAGGCAGCUCACUAGACUGUCACUGACACUGAUGCUCGAAAGUGUGGGUAUCAAACAGGAUUAGAUACCCUGGUAGUCCACACAGUAAACGAUGAAUACUCGCUGUUUGCGAUAUACAGUAAGCGGCCAAGCGAAAGCAUUAAGUAUUCCACCUGGGGAGUACGCCGGCAACGGUGAAACUCAAAGGAAUUGACGGGGGCCCGCACAAGCGGAGGAACAUGUGGUUUAAUUCGAUGAUACGCGAGGAACCUUACCCGGGCUUAAAUUGCAACAGAAUAUAUUGGAAACAGUAUAGCCGUAAGGCUGUUGUGAAGGUGCUGCAUGGUUGUCGUCAGCUCGUGCCGUGAGGUGUCGGCUUAAGUGCCAUAACGAGCGCAACCCUUAUCUUUAGUUACUAACAGGUUAUGCUGAGGACUCUAGAGAGACUGCCGUCGUAAGAUGUGAGGAAGGUGGGGAUGACGUCAAAUCAGCACGGCCCUUACGUCCGGGGCUACACACGUGUUACAAUGGGGGGGUACAGAAGGCGGCUACCUGGUGACAGGAUGCUAAUCCCAAAAACCUCUCUCAGUUCGGAUCGAAGUCUGCAACCCGACUUCGUGAAGCUGGAUUCGCUAGUAAUCGCGCAUCAGCCAUGGCGCGGUGAGUACGUUCCCGGGCCU